UGGUUCGGUAGAUGCAUGCCCAGCGUGCACCAUUGCCCUCUGUGGGCACAGGAGCACCUCAGGAAUACAUUCCCCUUUACAAUGCUUAUUUACUUUUUCAUGUGUUUCCUUGCUUUAUCCUUUUUAAAACAUCCAAGGUACUGUGGUGAACUUAAAAACAUGCUGGGGGAAGUCAGAAAGAAAAGGAAACAAUGAAAUGCAUAAAACAGAAGGCAACCACAAUAGGGAAAGAGGCACUUCACUGGGAAUCAGAAUUGGCAGAUUACAAGAAGAAAAGCCUGUUUAGUGAAAGAAUUCAAGCCAACCACUUUCAUGAAAAGAUGGAGAUAAUUUAGAGCACAAGUGGGCUGCCAUGGAUGUGGGCGUUAUGUUUCUUCUACAAGGAUGAGAAAACAAAAAUUGAAGCCUCCCCCAGGCUUUUAUCCUUUCAUUACCUCUUGCAAACAUAAAUACACUAAUUGGCAAUUUAAAAAGGGAAACAAAAAUAGAUACUACUGCCCACCGGCAGAUACCACUUAGAGAGCUUUUCCGUCCCCAGCUAGAGGCAGUCGUUUUUCUGUCCUCUGCAAGACUUCUCAUCUCUGGGACCAAGAGGACCUCCAAUGAGGAAAGGGAGCGAGCAAUGAUGUUUUGAUUUUAGGAUCUGAAUUAAAAUGUUUCAAAGGAGCUUUGUUUUCCUGAAAACAGGGUGUGCCAUUUCCAGCUUUUAUUGUACAAAUUUGAAAUCUACCACAAGCCCAAAAGUGAAAUAGCAGUUUGCCCCCGUUGGCCCCGUGGGGGCAUCACAGCAGGAUAUCUUUGGUUUACGGGAUAUCUUUGGUUACACCUCCAGACCCACUCCACACCCUUCUCGCUCUUAGUCCCACAGUCUGAAUUGUAUGUACUGCUCCAGCAGACUCGCUUUCCUCUGGCCUCCAGUUGUGUUUGGCCCAUAGGAGCAUCUGCAGGAGUCAGAGGGUAGGAGGAGAGGGACAUCAGGGAGCCCACCGCCCUCCCUGUUUCUGUCUGGCAGCAGCGCCCCACUGUUCUCUGCAUCCUGGGAGCCGCUCCCUUCCCCUGGCACCUUCAGGCCUCAGCUGGUCAUGGACCCCCACUGUUCCUAGAUCCCAGUACUGUGCUGUUCUUUGUAGAUGCCCUACGCCCAGGCCUCAGCUUAAUAGUCUCUUUAUUACACUUUCUUCCAAUUAUCCCAGUUUGAAUGUACCAUCUGUUCCUUGCCAGAACUCGGGCUGCUGUCAGGUCUUGGGCAUCUGUGAACUGGCCAUCUUGGUCUUAUUUGGGUUUUAUGGGGCUGGUUCCUACAUCACAGUGGGAAAACUGUAGGGCAGAAACACCAGUUGUCACCGUGGCCAACACGGUGAAACCCGCCUCUACUAAAAAUACAGAAAUUAGCUGGGUGUGGUGGCAGGCGCCUGUAAUCCCAGCUACUCAGGAGGCUGAGGCAAGAGAAUCACUUGAACCUGGGAGGCGGGGGUUGCAGUGAGCUGAGAUCAUGCCAUCCCACUCCAGCCUGGGAGACAAGAGCGAGACUUUGACUCAAAAAAAAAAAAAAAAAAUACCGUAGAGCACCACUAAGAAGCCAUUAGCUUUUUGUUACUUCGUUACUUCGUUACUUUACCGGUACUUUUUACAUAAAGCCAACAAGACUUUCACAAAACUAGCAUGGCCAUUGACAGAAGUCAACAAAAGCCAGAUGACAGCCUAACAUUGAAUUAUCAUAAUGUUAUUUUAAUAUCUAACGCUUACUGAACGAAUAUCUACCAUUACUAUGUUAACCAUAUUGCCUGACUUAUCUCAUUCACUAAUUUAAUCAGGUGGAUACUUUUAUUAUUCCCCCAUAUUUCAGAUGAAGAGAAUGAGACUGAAGGGUUACAUGAUGUGCCCAAGAUCAUACUGUCAGUGACUACUCAGCAAUACUGCCUUCCUACAAAAUUCCGUAGAUGAAAAUAACACGAAGCCUCCAAAAUUCACUUAAUUACCCUAUACCUAAUGAGCCUCCCCUGUGUGCAGAGUCACCUGUCUCUCUCAUCAUCCACUUCUGAGCAGCAGGUUGCUGAAUAUGCAGAGGUGGUAGCUAAGAUUACAAUUUCAAGUGCUUGAAAACAACUGUAAGUCAAACUGCAAAUGCCCACUUCAAUUAGAGGGUCCAUAUCACAUGGUACACCUCAAGUCCUUGAAUCUUAAAGCUGGGACAGACUUUGGUGAUCAUCCCAUCCAACCGCUCAUUUUAAAAAUGAAAUAAAUGAGUCCAAGUAAUUGUAAGCAACUUGCCCAGGUUACACUGUUGGUCAGUGACAGCUACCUGGGUUUAGCCCCCACAGCUCCUGACUCUCAACUCUCUAGUCUCUCAUUUCACCUGGUGCCAUACAUCUUUACCUGAAUCAUUUUGAAGAUGAAGACUCUUAAAUAUGGAAAAUUAGAUGGUACCAUUUAAUUUUUCUUUUGCAUUAAUAGCAAUGUUUUGGCUCAGGAAUCAUUUAAUAGGAAUCAUAAAAUGAGAGCAUUAUAUCAUCGCUGCCUUAAAAUGCAGUAACUAUGGUUCAUUUGGACUGUGCUUCUGAAGGUAAUGGAAGGAAUUUUGCCCUUGGAUGUGUUCUGAGUAGAGCUGACGUCUCUGCAGCAUCUUCUCUAGGACCCUUCUCUCUGACAUAGCAGUGGCCUAACUGUUCAUCUGUCUCUCCUCCAUCCAGCAUGGCACCACACUCCUGAUGGUUGCUGCCUACGCUGGCCACAUAGACUGUGUGAGGGAACUGGUUCUGCAAGGAGCAGACAUCAAUCUCCAGAGAGAGUCAGGUACAACUGCCCUAUUCUUUGCCGCCCAGCAAGGCCAUAAUGAUGUUGUGAAAUUUCUCUUUGGAUUUGGAGCAUCCACUGAAUUUAGGACCAAAGAUGGGGGCACCGCCCUGUUGGCUGCCAGUCAGUACGGGCACAUGCAGGUGGUGGAGACCUUGCUGAAGCACGGAGCAAACAUCCAUGACCAACUUUAUGAUGGAGCCACUGCCCUCUUCCUAGCUGCCCAAGGUGGUUACUUGGAUGUUAUUCGAUUACUGCUGGCUUCAGGAGCAAAAGUCAACCAGCCAAGGCAGGACGGGACAGCGCCCCUGUGGAUCGCGUCCCAGAUGGGCCACAGCGAGGUGGUGCGGGUGAUGCUGCUGCGCGGAGCCGACCGCGACGCUGCGCGGAACGAUGGCACAACAGCAUUAUUGAAAGCAGCCAACAAAGGGUAUAAUGAUGUCAUAAAAGAGUUGCUUAAAUUCUCACCCACUCUUGGUAUUUUGAAGAAUGGGACAUCAGCGCUCCAUGCAGCAGUGCUCAGUGGAAACAUUAAAACAGUUGCGCUGCUCCUAGAAGCAGGGGCAGACCCAUCCCUGAGAAACAAGCAUCGGCAUCCAGGGUCCCAUGUGGUGAGAAGGGGUGCAGCCACAGGACAUGCUGCACAGCAGACCACUUGUGACAAACUUACAAUUCCUAACAAGUGAGGUUCCAGCCAGCAGAUAGAGGUCAGGGAGCAGGAUCCAGCUAGAAGAUGGGGACUGCAGAAGCUUCACCUAGGAUCAAGUUUCCAGAUAAAGCAACUGGGGUUCCAGGCUUGGCUGCUGGAGAAGAAAAUAUGGUGAGACAGGCCAAUGAACUUCCGGCAGAACUAACCAAAAAUGAACGUAUAUUGCGUCUCCUGAGAAGUAAAGAAGGUCCCAGAAAGAGCU